rnacentral:lncRNA from 1 species
UGCUGCCGGCCCCGAGCUUCACCUUCAGUGCCGUCCAAUUGGACUGGCCGGCCGCGCCUGCUCAACAACAGCGCAGACAUGAGAACUCAAAAUAAUUCGAGCUCUCCUGAACAACAUACUAUUUUGAAGCUAUUUAUAAAAUGGUGUCAGGAGGUUUAACAGCACCAGCCAGAAGAGUCCCUUGCUGGCGUGUGGACUGAGUUGCUGCCAAAGAUAUGACUGUUGGGACAAAAUUUGCAAUGCUGCGGGACAGUAGGAAUGUAGGCGCCACAAUACACCAGUUGUAGGCUAAAGGACAACAAACAGGCAAAGCAGCGCACCUUUGGGAGGCGGGGCCAGCACAGUGGGUGCACGAGGCGCUUUGGCAUCCGGUUUUCCAGCCACUGACGCAACCCCUUCUUCUGUGGUUGCUGCACCGCUCUUCGCCUUCCUCCGCCGCUUCUUCCGCUUGGCCCCAGCCGCCGCAUGCUCCGGCAAGCCCGCAUCCCCCGGUCCCCUUUUCUGCCCUGCCAGCUUGCCAGCUGCAGCCGCCUUUUCCGGCUUGUGCCCGCCGCGCUGCCCAGGCUGCCCGCUACGCUGCCCGGCCGGGCUACCCAAGCCGGGUGCCCGGGUGGGCACACCCCCGGGCAGGCGCCCGCUGGUCCCUGCCGGGUGCUGCCGCGCCGCUGCCUUGUCUCCU